GGAUGUGAGGACAAUCUGGCUGUGACAUCUGUCACCCCAUUGAUCACCAGGGUUGAUUCGGCUGCUCUGGCUGGCUAGGUGGGUGUCACCUUCCUCCCUCACCGCGCCAUGUGCCUCCCUCCUGAAGGUGCACACUCAGUCGAGAAGGACAGGUCUUCAGUCAAGGGUAUAGGAGUAGUUGUGCUCCCCUGCUAGAACCUCCAAACAAGCGCUCAAGAAUUAAAGAGUGUGAGGCAAACACACCCAUCCUCAGAAGCAGGACUGUCACCAGUGCCU
rnacentral:snRNA from 1 species